rnacentral:rRNA from 2 species
UACAGAGGGUGCGAGCGUUAAUCGGAAUUACUGGGCGUAAAGGGCGCGUAGGCGGCUAGAUAAGUCAGAUGUGAAAUCCCUGGGCUUAACCUGGGAAAGUCAUUUGAGACUGUGUGGCUAGAGUAGAGUAGAGGGAAGUGGAAUUUCCGGUGUAGCGGUGAAAUGCGUAGAUAUCGGAAAGAACAUCAGUGGCGAAGGCGGCUUUCUGGACUUAUACUGACGCUGAGGCGCGAAAGCAUGGGUAGCAAACAGG